UACGUAGGUGGCAAGCGUUGUCCGGAUUUACUGGGCGUAAAGCGCGCGCAGGCGGCCCUUUAAGUCCGUCGGUCAAAUGCCGGGGCUCAACCCCGAGCGUGCCGAGGAUACUGGAGGGCUGGAGACACGUAGAGGCAAGCGGAAUUCCGGGUGUAGCGGUGGAAUGCGUAGAGAUCCGGAAGAACACCGGAGGCGAAGGCGGCUGCCUGGACCGGCCCUGACGCUGAGGCGCGAAAGCUAGGGGAGCAAACAGG
rnacentral:rRNA from 1 species